rnacentral:tRNA from 1 species
GCACCAGUAGCUCAGCGUAGAGCGUCAGACCUAAAUCUGGAGGUCGCGUGGUUCGACUCCCGCCUGGUGCGCCA